rnacentral:tRNA from 1 species
GGGGUUGUAGCUCAGUGGUUGAGUGCUUGUCUUGCAUGCAUGAGACACUGGGUUCAAUCCUCAGCACCA